UUAUAAAAAUGUCGGGUGGGGUUUAGUACCGCUCACAACUAUUUCGGGCUAUUCCGUCCAAAUGGGUGGCCCGAU